UGCUUAUCUUACCUACCGUUUAGUGGGGGAUAAAAUACCGCAUAUUCUGGUUUCGACCAGGAAAGGACUUCGGUUCGCUAAAUGAUGGGGAUAAGUCGUAUCAGUUAGUUGGUAGGGUAAAGGCCUACCAAGACAAUGACGCGUAGCCGGGCUGAGAGGCUGAUCGGCCACAAGGGAACUGAGACACGGUUCCUACUCCUACGGGAGGCAGCAAUGAUGAAUCGUCGGCAAUGGGGGCAACCCUGACCGCGCAAUGCUACGUGAAGGAGGAAGGUCUACGGAUUGUAAACUUCUUUACUAGAGGGUACUGACGCAAGAAUUACCCUUUAGCAAAAAGUCACGACUAACUAUGUGCCAGCAGUCGCGGUAAGACAUAGGUGGCAAACGUUAUCCGGAAUUAUUGGGCGUAAAGGGUGCGUAGAUGGUAUGAUAAGUUAGCGGUGGGAAAUCGAGGCUCAACCUCGUGGAAGCUGGUAAUACUAUCGUGCUAGAGUGUAGGAGAGGUUAACGGAACUCCCCGUGGAGCGGUGAAAUGCAUAGAUAUGGGGAAGAACACCAAUAACGGCGAAGGCAGUUAACUAUUCUACUACUGACAUUGAGGCACGAAAGCGUGGGGAGCAAAAAGGAUUAGAUACCCUUGUAGUCCACGCCCUAAACGAUGAGUACUAGAUAUUGGGAACUUGAUUCUCAGUGUCGCUGGUAACCCGGUAAGUACUCCGCCUGGGUAGUACGGUCGCAAGGCUGAAACUCAAAGGAAUUGACGGGGACUCGCACAAGCAGUGGAGCAUGUGGUUUAAUCCGAUACGACGCGUAGAACCUUACCAAGGCUUGACAUGUUCGGCAAAGUUGCUGAAAGGCAAUAGAGGUUAUCCGAACACAGGUGCUGCAUGGCCGUCGUCAGUUCGUGCCGUGAGGUGUAUGGUUAAGUCCUAUAACGAACGCAACCCUUGGGCUUAGUUACCAGCAUUCAGUUGGGGACUCUAAGCCGACUGCCCGAGUAAUCGGGAGGAAGGAAAGGAUGAAGUCUGAUCGUC
rnacentral:rRNA from 1 species